AGUGUGAUAUGAAAAUGAUGACUAGAUAGGUCCUUUAUUGACUAUGCUCUCUCUACUUCUUUGUUUCUAUGAGACAAGGCUAGCAUUUUUUUUAUUUUUUAUAGCGUCUGCUUUUGUGUCUCAUCUAUAAUUAAAUCUUUGAGAGAGAUUCUACACUAUUGAGCAUAUGGAGCAUCUAUAUUUUGUGGCAUGGAAUGGGGCGUUGUGUACUCCCAGUGUAGGAGUGGCAAAAAAUGUGGUGUGUGCGAUCUUGAUGUUAGGACUAUGACAAAAACUCUCACUAUGAUCUACAUGAUUUGACCAAACUCAAUACAAUAUGCAAGUUGCACACAAGGGUUGUUUCAGACAUACGUAUUUUGGCUCUGGUAGGAAUUUCAUUGCUAAUGAAGAGUAAUAAAAAUAUGGUUUUAUGAUAUCUUCAAAAUAAAAUUCCAAGUACCUUUGAACAGAAUUGGUGUGAUUCAUG
rnacentral:lncRNA from 1 species